rnacentral:lncRNA from 1 species
UCUUUAAAAAAAAAAAGAUUUAUUUAUUUAUUUAUUUAUUUUAUAUAUAUAUGACUAUACAGUCAUUGUCUUCAAGUACACCCAAAGAGGGCAUCAGAUCCCAUUACAAAUGGUUGUGAGUCACCAUGUGGUUGCUAGGAAUUGAACUCAGGACCUCUGGAAGAACAGUCCGUGCUCUUAACCGCUGAGCUGUCUCUCUAGCCCUUGAAUCUCAUUUUUAACAAACUUCAUCUUCAAGUUUUUUGUUGUUUGUUUCUUGUUGUUGUUGUGGUGGUGGUGGUGGUGUUUUGACACAGAGAUUCUGUAUUCCCAGCUGUUUUGGAACUCGCUCUGUAGACCAAGCUUGCUUUUGAUCCUCCUACCUCUUGAGUGCCUUGGCUAAAGGUGUGCAGUACCAGCAUAUUAAUUUUUAACAUUAAUCUCUGUGCUCUCUUCUGCGGCAGAUGCCUUUGUUCAUUUGUUUGUUUUUGAGGUAAUGAUCUAUUUUAAAAUCUCAUGACCACAUUUUUUUGUGAUUAAAUUUUAGUGCUUUCUACUUAAAAUUAACUCUGAGCCAUCUUCUAUUAAUACACGUGUUAGCUACAUUUUGUACUUUUUUACAAGCUGAAAGGUAGUGUGUUUCUUUAGAUUACUAACUUGCAGUGAUGUGGUCAUUGCUGUGGGACAAAUUCCUUUUUUUAAAAAAAAUGACUUAUUUAUUAUUAUACAUAAGUACACUGUAGCUGUCUUCAGACGCACCAAAAGAGGGCGUCAGAUCUCAUUACGAGUGGUUUUGAGCCACCAUGUGAUUGCUGGAAUUUGAACUCAGGACCUUCGGAAGAGCAGUCAUUGCUCUUACCCGCUGAGCCAUCUUGCCAGCCCAUGGGACAAAUUCUUAUCAUGGGGUCAAUUUCACAGUACAAUUUUCAGUAGAAGUUGCCAAACUCUCCUUCAGGAAGCUGGUGCUGUCUUAUGUAUGUCAGUCUAUGAGGCUGUUCCCUCUUCUUCCUACUUACAGGAUAUAUAUUUUUUAACUUUUUAUUGAUUCUUGUGAAUUUCACAUCAUGUACUCCAGUCCCACUCAUCUCCUUGUCAUCUCCAUAUCUCUUCACAUAUGGCAUUGUGCUAACUUACAUGGUAUCAGGGUUGGCUCUGUGCAUGCUAGGCAAAUGCCCUAUUUAUUAGCUGUUUCAUCCCCAGCUUUCCUUUUUCAUGAGUUUGGGGGUUUUGUUUUUGCUUUGUUUUUGUAUGUUUGUUUUUGCGGGGAGGUAGUUUGGUUUGAUUUGGUUGUUCUUGUUUGUUUUCCAAGAUACACUUUCUUUGUGUAGUCCUGAAACUUGCUGGCCUUCAACUCACAGGGAUCCUCCCGACUGCCUCCUGAGAACUGGGAUUCAAGGCAUUCCCCAUCAAGUCAAGAUUAAGCUUUUUUUCCUCAUGGGUUUGUCAUCUCUUUGAAUGGCUAUCAUCAUGAAAUUGUAGUUUAUAUCAUGUCUGCCUUUCUGUUAGUUAUGUGUUAGAUUUUAAUUAUUAAUUGGUAGAUGUGUUAACUCAACUUUGUUCAGCCUUGGCAGUGUUGAGAUUUUUAAGCAAGGUACUUUUUAGUCAUUGCCGUCAUCCUCUGCCUUGCAGAAUAUUUAAUUAACAGCAUCCUGUAAUGUGCUCACUAGACACUGAUAGUGUGUGGGCACAUACACACUGAGGCUAACCAAGAAUGCCUGCACACAUCAUCACAUCCUGUCCCUUGAUGGUUGAAUUUCCCAGCAUAACAAAUACUGAUCAAAAUGAUACAUAGCAGAUGUUUUUCCCAGUCUCUUGCUGCUUGUCUUGUUUCUGGUGCUUUUUGCCAUAGAGCUUUUUGAUUUUAUGAUACCUGGCUUUCUGUUAACAUACUUUAUAGAGACGAAGGAACCUGCAGAGCUUUAAAUGAGUAAUAAACACGAGAAAUUCUUAAUGUUUGCCUGCUUGAGAGUUAAAAGAGUAGGAAACAGGUUUAAUUCUUACCCUUCUCCCAGUGACUCAAGGAGUAGGAGAGAAAUAUCUGUGCAAGAGUUGUGUUCAGUUUUAUGUAAUCUCUGGCAAAGCCUUUUUUUAAUGUGCUAGACAUGGAACCUAGUGCCUCCUGCAUACUAGGCAAACACUCUGCUACUUAGCUCUUAAAGGGUUUUCUUUGUUUUUUGUUUUCUUUUAAACAAAAAAGGUUUUAGACAGUUAAAUAUAGCCUAUGCUGGCCUUGAACUUUCUAUACAGCCUUUAAAUUCCUGAUCCUCCUGUCCUUACUGCUUGAGCACGGGAAUUACAGGAAUGCACCUUUGCAGAGUUGUUUUUAAAGGUAGUCAAAGGCUUAUUAUGCCUUGUGGGCUUCGACUUUUCACAAAUUCACGCUUCACAUCUUAAGGAAGGAGAAGUGGCUUGCUCACUGAGCUCUCCAGGCAGAUGAGCACAUGUGAAGUAGUGACUACAGAUUUAAAAGCAGGGUCAAAGGGCCUCCCAGGUUAGGCCACUGCACCCCAAUGUCUGUUGGACAAACUAGGUAUUAGUUGUUUUCAAAAGGUUGAUCUUGGUGCCCUCAGAUGUAUCUAUACAGAUGUUCCUCCAAAGCUAUACUAGGCUGUUUGCCCCUGAAAGUAGAAAGUGCAUUUACUGUGCUGGGAAGAAUGUAGAUUAGUGGCAGAGUGCUUACCUAGCAUGCUCCAGGCCCUAGGUUUCAUCCCAGAGCCUACUGCCUGCCCCACCCCACCCCAUCUUGUCCCUACCCCACCCCUAGCCAAGGUCUGGGUUUAGCUCAGUGAUAGAGCAAUACCAGGUAAAAGGAAAAUUAAGGCUGGGUACAUGGCUCAGUGUUAGAACAAUUAUCUAGCUAGUUUCUUGCCUUUUUGUGACUUAAUAACUCAUUUCUUUUUAGGUUAUUAUCGAUAAAACAGCUGUCUGUAAACAUAGUUGAUCUCCUUGUAUGAAUAUAGGUAGGUGGAUAUGGUGUGUGUGUUCAUAUGGGUGGGUGCAUGUGUAUGGAUGUGAAGGUACAAAUUUAUGUGGAAGCCAGAGAUCACUAUAGAGUGACUUCUAUCACAUUGUAUUAAAAUGCCAUGACCAGAAACAACUAACAAAAGAAAGUUUACUGGAGCUUAAAGUCCAUAAUGGUGAGGAAUAUGUCACAGCAGGCAGCCAGAGUAGGAAAUUGCAAAAUCAUAUCUCUCUCCACAUUCAGGAAGUUCAGAGAGCAAACUGGAUGUAGCACAAAAACUCUCAAAGCCCACCCCAGUGGCUUUACUUCUUAAAAGUUUCACAAGCUACCCAAAGAGUGCUGUCAGUAAGGCUCAGAACAAGAUCAGUGUGGGAUACACUGGCUGUGGUGAAGUGUAUGGUGGUGUCUACCAUAUAUACUCCAGAACUUAUUUUUUGAGACAGGGUCUUUCACUGAACCUGAAGCUUAUUCAGCGAGGCUGACUCGCCAAAGAGUUCCAUGGCUCCCCAUAUCAUGUUCCCAACUCCCCGUGCUAUGUAUUAUAUGUAUGUGCUAACUCAUCCAACUUUUAUUAUGGGUGCUAUGGAUAUGAACUCAAAUCUCCAUGUUUGUGCCAGCAAGCUCUUUACGAACUGAAUCAUCUCCCCGGUAGUUGAUCUUUUAGUGCAGAAAAGAAAAUCCCUUAACUGCAAAAUGUAGUCAUUUAUCUCUGCCUUCACAUACCCAGAUGAAUAUCUAGAAUUUACCUGAUCUUACUUUUCUUUGCAGAUUUUUAAAUAAUACAAUGUCUAAUGGUUAUGAAGACCACAUGGCGGAAGACUGCAGGGAUGACAUUGGGAGAACGAAUUUAAUUGUCAACUACCUCCCUCAGAACAUGACCCAAGAGGAACUACGAAGUCUGUUCAGCAGCAUUGGCGAGGUUGAAUCUGCAAAGCUUAUUCGGGAUAAAGUAGCAGGUAAAGAGCCUGAGAGGUUUCUUGAAGGAGUCAUGGUUGGCUAUGCUGUGACUCAUUGGCUUCCUUGCUGGUAACUCCUUAGUACAGAAUAGGCUGCAGGCUAGAAACCAUAGCUAUAAAUGAAGUUUUGUUCUUUAACCUCAGACUACUUUUCUUCAGCCCCAGUAUAAGACUGGACAGAGAUGGGGUGGGGGUUGGGGGAUAUCCUAGAGAGCCGUUUCAGCAGUUAAGAGUACUUGCUACUCUUGCAGAGGAGCAGAGUUUGGUCCUCACACCCACAGCAGACAGCUUACUGCAUAUGUAACUGCAGCUUAGGGAAGCUGAUGCUCUGGCCCACGAGCACGUGCACAUAGCACCACCACUACACGCACACAAAUCCAUAAUUAACAAUAAAAUACAUCUUGAGAAAAUCUGAAGGUAAGGUUCCCCUAAAAUAUCUUGGAGUAUUUGUAAGUUAAAACACAUACCAGGUGUAGGGGUGCACGCCUUUAGUCCCAGGACUCAGAAGACAAGAGGCAAGUGGGCCUUGGUGGGAUUAGAAAGUGAUUUGAAUUCCCAGAUACAGGGCUUCUCUCUGAUCUGAAGACAGUUUGGGGAGUUGUGGAGACGGUACCUGCUAAGCUCAGUAAUAUGUCUUUCAUUCCAGUUCAGUGAGUGCCAUAUCUGAGAUACUCAUCCUGCCCUUACUUUACUUCUCCUGCUGUCAAAUUUCACUGUUCAUCUGUCAUUCAGUGGCACCACUCUGCCUAAUCCUGUGUCUCCUUUUCUCUAGCUGGAUCUCAGUCCAGCUCUCAGGACUACUUUCCUUUUACAAUUUUCCUUUUACAAGAAUAUCUUUGCACACUUUGCCAGCUUUACUAUUUGUCCCUCAGCAUGAUUUAUCUUUGCUCCUUAUUUUAAAAGCAAAAACC